rnacentral:rRNA from 1 species
GAUGAACGCUGGCGGCGUGCCUAAUACAUGCAAGUCGAGCGAACAGACGAGGAGCUUGCUCCUCUGACGUUAGCGGCGGACGGGUGAGUAACACGUGGAUAACCUACCUAUAAGACUGGGAUAAGUCGGGAAGCGGGAGCUAAUACCGGGGAAUAUAUUGAAGCGCAUGGGUCAAUAGGGAAAGACGGGGUAGCUGAUACGCAUACGUGGAUCCGCGCCGCAUUAGCUAGUUGGGAAGUUAACGGCUUAGACAGGCGACGAUGCGUAGCCGACCGGAGAGGUUGAUCGCCCACACGGGAACUGAGCCACGUUCCAGCCUCCUACGGGAGGCGGCAGUAGCGAAUCGUCCGCAUUGGGAGAAAUCCUGAAGGAGCACCGCCGCGUGAGUGAGGAAGGGCUUCGGAUCGUAAAGCUCUGUUAUUAGGGAAGACCAAAUGUGUAAGUGACUAUGUACGUCUUGACGUUACCUAAUCAGAAAGCCCCGGCUAACUCCGU